AGUGAACGCUGGCGGCAGGCCUAACACAUGCAAGUCGAGCGGCAGCGGGUCCCCGCGAGGGGAUGCCGGCGAGCGGCGGACGGGUGAGGAACACAUCGGAAUCUGCCUGGUUGUGGGGGAUAACGUAGGGAAACUUACGCUAAUACCGCAUGAGACCCUGAGUCGACGGACUGGGGGUGAAAGUGAGGGACCUUCGGGCCUCACGCGACCAGAUGAGCCGAUGUCGGAUAGCUAGUUGGCGGGGUAACGGCCCGCCAAGGCGACGAUCCGUAGCUGGUCUGAGAGGAUGAUCAGCCACACUGGGACUGAGACACGG
rnacentral:rRNA from 1 species